rnacentral:misc_RNA from 1 species
GUCCAUAUUUGUGAUUUUGUAUGUUUCCGCAGCUAGCCGGUUUAUGUGUGUUGCUAUUCUUAAUUUGUAUUUCUCGGAGUAUCUGUUGAUUUCUUCCUUGACCGUUGGCAUUCCCAGGUCCCUUCGUAUAUCUUCGUUUCUGACGUACCAAAGUCCGUUUACUAUUGUUCUGAGGAUUUUAGCCUGUAUUACCUCUAUUUUGUUUAUAUGGCUCAUUGCUGCCGUCCCCCAUAGUGAUAUUCCGUACGUCCAGAUUGGUUUUAUGAUUGUUUUAUAUAUUUUUAAUUUGUUUUCUGUGCUUAGUUUGGAUUUUCGGCUUGUUAGCCAAUGCAUUUGUCUCCUUGUUUUCUGUAUUUUUUCUACUAUUGAUUUGAUGUGUAGUUUCCAGGUGAGUUUUUGAUCUAAGUGGAGUCCUAGGUAUUUGACAUGCUUUGUUUGCGUUAUAUGCGUGCCGUUCAAUAGGAUGUUUGGUGGUAUCUUUUUCCGUAGCGUGAAUGUAAUAUGGUUGCAUUUAUUGGGGUUUGCUUUUAUUUGUUUUUCUUGUAGCCAAUUUUCUAUUUUUACGAUAUGUUCUUGUAGUAUUUUGACUGCCGUUUCUGGGUUAGUAUGCCUGACUAGUAUAGCUGUGUCGUCCGCGAAUGUCAAUACUGUGCUGUUGGUAUUUGUUGGUAUGUUCGCCGUGUAUAAUGUGUAUAGUAUUGGGCCUAGGACGCUUCCUUGUGGUACCCCGGCCUUGAUGUCUUUAACUUGAGAAUGUGUGUCCUUGAUUUUUAUUACGAAGGUUCUGCUGCUUAGGUAGGAUUUUAUUAAGUGGUGUAUUUGCUCCGGGAAUUGUUUCCUAAUUGUUUGUAGUAGU